AGGAGAUCUUGCCUAGCCAGAGAAGCAGAGGAGUUCUCAUGGAGUUUAAGCUAAAGCCACAACAACAGACAGAUGGUGUCCAAUCCCAGCAUGAACAGGGACAGCUACCUCUUCAGUUCGUGCUUGGACUCUAUGAAGCAGAGCAGCACCUCCUCAUUCAUGUAUGUCACAGAAAUAUCUUCUGAACUGGUGGAGGUGAUGCAGUGGAAAACCAUUCCCUAG
rnacentral:lncRNA from 1 species